rnacentral:rRNA from 1 species
AGUGAACGCUGGCGGUAGGCCUAACACAUGCAAGUCGAACGGUAGCACAGUAAGUGCUUGCUCUUACGGGUGGCGAGUGGCGUACGUGUCAGGAAUACAUCCUAAUCUACUUUUUCGUGGGGGAUAACGUAGGUAAACUUAAGCUAAUACCGGAUACGACCUACGGGUGAAAGCAGGGGAUCUUUGGACCUUGCGCGAUUGAAUGAGCCGAUUUCGGAUUAGCUAGUUGGCGGGGUAAAGGCCCACCAAGGCGACGAUCCGUAGAUGGUCUGAGAGGCUGAUCAGCCACACUGGAAGUGAGACACGGUCCAGACUCCUACGGGAGGCAGCAGUGGGGAAUGUUGGACAAUGGGCGCAAGCCUGAUCCAGCCAUCCCGCGUGGGUGAAGAAGGCCUUCGGGUUGUAAAGCCCUUUUGUUGGGAAAGAAAAGCAGCAGGUUAAUACCCCGCUGUUCUGACGGUACCCAAAGAAUAAGCACCGGCUAACUUCGUG